CGGACAUGGGGCGGGCGUGCCUAAUACAUGCAAGUCGAGCGGACAGAUGGGAGCUUGCUCCCUGAUGUUAGCGGCGGACGGGUGAGUAACACGUGGGUAACCUGCCUGUAAGACUGGGAUAACUCCGGGAAACCGGGGCUAAUACCGGAUGCUUGUUUGAACCGCAUGGUUCAAACAUAAAAGGUGGCUUCGGCUACCACUUACAGAUGGACCCGCGGCGCAUUAGCUAGUUGGUGAGGUAACGGCUCACCAAGGCAACGAUGCGUAGCCGACCUGAGAGGGUGAUCGGCCACACUGGGACUGAGACACGGCCCAGACUCCUACGGGAGGCAGCAGUAGGGAAUCUUCCGCAAUGGACGAAAGUCUGACGGAGCAACGCCGCGUGAGUGAUGAAGGUUUUCGGAUCGUAAAGCUCUGUUGUUAGGGAAGAACAAGUACCGUUCGAAUAGGGCGGUACCUUGACGGUACCUAACCAGAAAGCCACGGCUAACUACGUGCCAGCAGCCGCGGUAAUACGUAGGUGGCAAGCGUUGUCCGGAAUUAUUGGGCGUAAAGGGCUCGCAGGCGGUUCCUUAAGUCUGAUGUGAAAGCCCCCGGCUCAACCGGGGAGGGUCAUUGGAAACUGGGGAACUUGAGUGCAGAAGAGGAGAGUGGAAUUCCACGUGUAGCGGUGAAAUGCGUAGAGAUGUGGAGGAACACCAGUGGCGAAGGCGACUCUCUGGUCUGUAACUGACGCUGAGGAGCGAAAGCGUGGGGAGCGAACAGGAUUAGAUACCCUGGUAGUCCACGCCGUAAACGAUGAGUGCUAAGUGUUAGGGGGUUUCCGCCCCUUAGUGCUGCAGCUACGCAUUAACACUCCGCCUGGGGAGUACGGUCGCAGACUGA
rnacentral:rRNA from 1 species